rnacentral:rRNA from 1 species
GACGAACGCUGGCGGCGUGCUUAACACAUGCAAGUCGAACGGAAAGGCCCUGCUUUUGUGGGGUGCUCGAGUGGCGAACGGGUGAGUAACACGUGAGUAACCUGCCCCUGACUUUGGGAUAACUUCAGGAAACUGGGGCUAAUACCGGAUAGGAGCUCCUGAUGCAUGGUGGGGGUUGGAAAGUUUCGGCGGUUGUGGAUGGACUAGCGGCUUAUCAGCUUGUUGGUGGGGUAGUGGCUUACCAAGUCUUUGACGGGUAGGCGGCCUGGGAGGUGGACCGGCCACCUGAGGACUGCGAGACGGACCAGAAGCCUACGGUAGGCAGCAGGCGGGAGUAUUGCACAAUGGCGGGAAGCGUGAGGCAGCAACGUCGCGUGCGGAAUGCCGGGUUUCGGGGGGAAAACAGCUGUGGACGGAGACGAAGCCGGAGUGACGGUAAUGGGUAAAGAAGCAACGGCUAACUACGUG